rnacentral:rRNA from 1 species
AGUGAACGCUGGCGGUAGGCCUAACACAUGCAAGUCGAACGGCAGCACAGUAAGAGCUUGCUCUUACGGGUGGCGAGUGGCGGACGGGUGAGGAAUACAUCGGAAUCUACUUUUUCGUGGGGGAUAACGUAGGGAAACUUACGCUAAUACCGCAUACGACCUACGGGUGAAAGCAGGGGAUCUUCGGACCUUUCGCGAUUGAAUGAGCCGAUGUCGGAUUAGCUAGUUGGCGGGGUAAAGGCCCACCAAGGCGACGAUCCGUAGCUGGUCUGAGAGGAUGAUCGGCCACACUGGAACUGAGACACGGUCCAGACUCCUACGGGAGGCAGCAGUGGGGAAUAUUGGGCAAUGGGCGAAAGCCUGAUCCAGCAAUACCGCGUGGGUGAAGAAGGCCUUCGGGUUGUAAAGCCCUUUUGUUGGGAAAGAAAAGCAGCAGGUUAAUACCCCGCUGUUCUGACGGUACCCAAAGAAUAAGCACCGGCUAACUUCGUG